rnacentral:tRNA from 3 species
GCCGGUGUAGCUCAGUAGGUAGAGCAGCGCAUUCGUAAUGCGAAGGUCGGGGGUUCGACUCCUCUCACCGGCA